UUUCCCAAAUAUUCUUUCAGCUCAUGGGUGGAUCUACUAGGCUGAGGCAGCAGGAAAAAGAAAUCCGAUGAAAGAUAUUUGAAAACGAAGAGGGAGAAAAUCUCCUUGGAGCCUUUGAAUUGCCGUAGCUAAGGGACAAGCCUCCACAUUGAUGAAAAGCCGCAUUAAGAGCAGCUCUCUUCAGAGAAAUCAGCAUGCUGGUGCCCGGAGGAUGCCAUGUUCUCCUGCGCCCCUCUGUGGGCGUAAGGGGGCUUGCUGCACCAGAAUUUUCAAUUUGAAGUUGUAAAUUUGCAAAAACUGCCAGGCUGUGAAAACAGAUUAGGAACCAGUGGCCCCCGCAAAAGAAAAGUGGGCAAAAGACACAAUCACAGAGCUUGCACCCGAGGAAAAGCAAACACUGUUUUCAUCCAUUCAACAUUUACUUUGCCUCAUUUGUGCAAGCUAGGUUCGUAGGAGACAGGUAGCUUCCCUGUCUCAGGAAGCUUAGGAUGGGAAGCGAUUUGAUACAAGUGAUUCCGAAGGGGAUGAGAUGUCCUGCAACCUGGUCUGAAAAGUGGGGAAGUUUCCCUGAGGACGUCGCAUUGAAUGCUGGGAACUGAUGUGUAUGAGUUAGCUAAAUAAACAAGAGGGUGGUGGGGGAAAUUUGGCAACCCAAAGAAAAGCACUUGCAUGAAAUGCAGUGUGUGUGGUGCUCGAAUCAUGGUCUGCCCGGGCGGGUUGGGGUCUCAGUUCCUUUGUGCGCCACCUCGGAAAAGUCAUUUGAACCCAGGACGGCAAAGCUCUGGGGUAAACACAAAUCAGCAUGGUCUUUUCAGUAAGGCACUUUGGCUAUGCCUGUGCAUAAGUCAUACAAGGACCACACCUUCUGAUCCAUUAUUCCACUUCCAGAAACUUACCUGUGGAAAUCUUUCAUCCAACAAGGAGUUAAGUUCCUCCUUUCUGCUAGGCCCUUAAGCUAAGUCAUAGCUCCUAUCCUCAAGAAGCUGAAACUAAUGGGUGAGAAGACAAGUAAUCAGGACAUUAUGCUGCAGGAGGCCUGUCUGAUGCGGAAGUUCAGGGCAAAGGCAACUGAUCUGUAUUUGGGGGGCCAAGAGUUUUAGGGAGGUUUUAACUGGAGAUUUCACCUACAAGAGGACAUUUGGCACGGCCUGAAGAUGGUUUUUACCAUCAUGAUGGGAGUUUGGGUGCUACGGGCCUUAAUGGGUAGAGGCCAUGGACGCUGUUAAACAUUCUACAAUGCACAGGACAGAAACCCCCCACCCAACAAAAACUGUCCAGCUCCGAACGUCAAUAGAGCUGAUCCAAAGGGAUGGUUGUAGUCAGGUGGGGGAAAGGAAUAUCCUAUUGUAAUGGCCAGAAUAUAAAAAAGACAAACACGAAGGUGUUAUUACAUACAGUAUGGUGACUGUAAUUUAUUCUCACUGAAGAGGAAUGAAAACUAUAUCCAUACAAAAACCCGUAUGCAAUUCAUUGCUUUAUUAACACUCUCCAGUAACUGUAAGAAACACAAGUGUCUUUCAAUGGCUCAAUUUUAAAGUAGUGGUACAUUUGACACAGCCGAAUACUGACAAAAGGACCUCCUGAACCGUGAACAUGAAUCUCAAAGAUGUAGUAAGAUUUAGCAUGUUGCAUGACGCUCUGAAAAAGGAAAAACUACAGGGACACAAAUUCUAUCAGUGGUAGCCUGGAGUGGGAGCUGACUU